GAGAAUUAGGGUGAUUAGUCAUUAUUUUUUCCAUUUAUUCAUUCUUUCAAAUUGUCAAAUAUUAGAUGAGUAGCUGCUCUAUACUGGACAUUGUGUUUGGCUCUAGAAAUUAAAUGGUGAAUAAGAAAAAUAUACUUUUGUCCUCCUAGGCACUCAAAGGAUAAUAAAUUUGACGUUUAUAAUUCAGUGUGAUAAAUGCUCUUGUGAUUAGAGGAAGGAUUCUAACACCAGAAUGAAGAAAGAGGAGGAGGGACAGAGGGGUAAAGAGAAGAAGGAAUAUGAGAAAGAAAAAUUUCCUUGAUUUAAGCUUUUGCUACGUACCUGGCUUUUUAUGAGCUUCUUUAUCCCAUUUUGUCUUAUUUAGUCCUCUGUGAGGUAGAUAUUGGAAGGAGUGGUGGUGGAGGUUAAUGGAUUAAGGUAACAUUGUAUCAAAAUUUUUAAGAAGCAUGUCUUGAUUCUAUAAAAUGAACAAAACAUCUAGCCUUGUGUCAAAAACUUGUGCAAACCUCUGUGCUGAAGGCAAGGCAAGGUUUUUGAACUUCUUUUUCCUCUCCCUAGAUUUAAACCCAAGUUGUCAGAUGUUACCCUCUGUGACCAGCUACUUUACAGGAAAUCAAAAGAAUGAGUGCAAGAUGGCUGUGCCUCCUUCCAUAUGGGAGAAGGCCUUGCUCCUCUGAUCACUCUUACCUCAGGGAAGAAGCAGGAAAAGAGACCCACCAGUCUCAAUGAGCUUUGAACCCUUCUAGUCGCUAUCCACAGUUCAGAUUAGUGUUUGGUCCUCUUGGGAGAAGAGGGAGGUGCAAAGAUGGUAACUGAGGCAGAGAGCGGCUGAAUGGCAUGCCUAGUGUCAGGGUUGGCAAACUGUUCUCUGGGUUGUCAGGCAGGUGAAACGACAUGAUGGAAUAGAAACUCCUUUGUGAACUGUUCUGUCUGCUUCAGCCAGGGGUGCCUGCUUUCCAGGAUGGAGUGGAGAGGACUGUUGGGUCUUUGUGGAGGAGUUCCAGAACUCCAGAACUGAGAUGCUUUUUGAGAACAGGUCACUGUCACAUGCGUCUAGGACCCUUUUCUCAGCACAUUGAGAACUCCUUUGGGCAGGGCAGCCCAGGGUCUCCUCUUCCCUGAGCCAGCACAGGGCCAGAGCCUGGGAUGGUGUUGGGGAGAAUCAUGUUUCCUCAGGGAAGGCCAUUUCCAGUUAUUGGGUUGGAACUUGGUGUUGAGGGUGGAGGUGGCGGUGGGAGCUGCACCGUAUACAUUUUUGUUUAUAUGUAUGGUGUGUGUUGGGGGGUGGGGUGAGGCAGGAGUUUUGGGAGAAAAGGAACCAGAGUCAAACCAGUCUGGAAAGGGGCAAAUAUGCCGGCUGGUUCUCCUGCUUAGCAAAUGUGUGUGUACACUGCUAGUGUGGUAGGAAGAUUCUGCACACAGAUGCAUGUGGCCUUGACUUCUUGCUCCCUCUCAUACUUUCUGGAUGAGAUAGUUGAUGCUCAUGCGGGCUCUUUCUCUGAGCCUCUUUAUCCUUAAAGGGAGAGCAGCAUUCACCAGUGUGUUGGACUAUCCUGGGUAGACAGGUUGACAGCCGUCCUAUCUAUGUCUUCACCAAAAAGGGGGAAGGAGGUAGGGGAACAAGGAGACUGGCUCAUCAUCUCUUGGCUGGGACUGGCAUUAGCUGCUCCUUAAUCUUUCCUGCCUUGAAAUCCCCAAGGGCAGUAGGGAAGCUUCUAGGAGAUUAUGUGCAGAUGAGGCCCAGCUUUCUAAAACAGAAUCUUCAUGGAGUUCUGCUAGAGGUUUGAGCUAUUUCCUCACUAAAGGACAUAUAAAUCCUUGCAAAGAGCAUUAGGAUGGAUGACAGAGAUUUGGGACUCUGGCUAAGUCAUCCCUUGAAUUGCAUCGGGAUUGGGGACACAGUUCACUGUUAGGUAUUUGAAGGACAUCGCUCCUGGCACUCCUUUAUUCCCCAACCUUUCCUCCAACCCUUAGUUGUCCCUCCCUACAACCAUUAAGACCUCCCCUGUGUUUCCUCCCUCCAGACACUCUAUUAUUCCUUACAUGACAAGAGUCCCAGUAUCUUGUCCCUCAUGUCUUAUAGAUUGUGCACUGCAAGCUGCCUCUGGAUGCAAACACACAUUUUCUCUGCCCGGGAUCCUGCUAAUGCCAAAGGGAGUAGCAUGGGUGGGCUGCAGGCUAUGCGUCCUGGCAGUGGAUAGGGGACGGUGGGAAGGACUUCAAUUUGCUUUCUCUCUGUCAGUGAUGACUAAGUCCACUUUCCCUCUGAUUAAUCUUAAGGCAAAUGUUUGUAACAAGAGUGAUUUUCUUAUGAAGGUCAUGCAGUCCAGUAUAACAUGAAAUUCUUCCAAUUAAAGUGAC